CAGGAAGGGAUACAGGGGCAGAGUAUGGCAGCGGAAGGUGUACAAUGAAUCUCACCCCAAGCUGCUCCACUUCUGCCACUUCCGGUCCGGCGUUAGUCUUCGGUGCCACCCAGGAUUCAGAGCACUGCACCAGGGAUGCACCCUUGUAGGAGUCUGCUGACGGGUCUUCUCUGGUCUCCAGUCGCACCGCCCUGAGAGUCUUCUGCUUCCUGCAGCCAGCCGCCGAUCCGCGCUGUCCUUUUUCCAGCUGCCAGGGGUCCUCCCGGGUCAUUUAUCCUGUGCGAUGGGUGUCCUCCGCGGUGCCUGCCUUCUUCCCUCUCUGGUCCUCUUCCCAUCCUCGGCUGCUAGCGGUGCUCACCACAGGCUGCGGUCACGCUGGUCCUCGACAGUGAGCAUUCCUGCAGCAGGCUCUCUUCUCCCGCGGGACACCCGUCCUCUGCUCCAUCUGACAGAAUCACAGGCAGCCCCUCUCUUCGGCGCUGGUCUUCUUCGGAUCCUGCAGCUAGCUGAACUCCUCCACAAUGGUCCCGACGACUCCACGGCUCCCCGAUCCUCUGUCCUGCAACUGAGAAGAGAAAAGGCCAUGAAGGAACAUUUUUUUUUUAUCAUUACCACCAUGAAAGAAGAAUUUCCAGUCAUUACUAUCCCCAAUGCCCCCAGUGAUUAAGAUUUUCAGAAUAAAACAAUUAAAUUAAAUUAAUUAACUAGGGUAGUAUGGAUGGUGUAAUGGUUAGCAUCACUGUCUCGCAACACUGAUGUCCUGGGUUUGAUUUCCACUAUGUCCAUAUACUGGUAGUUGAGUUGGCUCACAACAAAAAGAUUAGCUGUAGUGUGUGUGCAUUAGAUGGGCCAAUUGGUUCUUAUCUGCCAUCAAAUUCUAAGCUAAUCCUAGGAACUGAGAAGGGAAAAGGCCAUGAAAGAAGAAUUGUCAAUCAUUACCAUCCUCAAUACCUCCCUUGAUUAAUAUUUUUCGGAAUUAAAGAAUUCAAUUUAAUUAACUUCCGAAUCAAUCCUUCUUUCCAUCUGAUCUAGUUCUUGAUUGAAACAUUCUUGGUUACUUUGUAUGUGGUCGCAUCAUUUAUUAAACUGCCAUCCUGUCUGCCACUAAA